GUCCGUCACUGCCUUUGGGCAAAAGUUGUGUAGUGUAAAUUGGCCUUCGACACAUGAUGCAACAUCCAAAAAUUUUAGUUAUACACUUGACAAUAGUUAGCAAAAGCAACAGCUAAAGUCUCAUUGCGCAACAUGCUUAAAUUGUUUACUUCCCAGGUUGGAAAACUUGCAUCAAAUUCCUAGGCGUAGCUGCGAGUGAUCUGGAUUGAUCAGUUGCGAGCUGCAAGUGGACCUAUAAUCUAAUGCGAGCUACGAGCAAAUUUAACCAAAGCCAAUCAAACCCUAAUACAACGUUAAAUAUGUAUUUUAGUCUAGAAAAAAUUUGAUAUGAAG
rnacentral:lncRNA from 1 species